CCUACGGGAGGCAGCAGUGGGGGAUAUUGCACAAUGGGGGGAACCCUGAUGCAGCGACGCCGCGUGGGUGAAGAAGCGCCUCGGCGCGUAAAGCCCUGUCAGCAGGGAAGAAAAUGACGGUACCUGAAGAAGAAGCCCCGGCUAACUACGUGCCAGCAGCCGCGGUAAUACGUAGGGGGCAAGCGUUAUCCGGAUUUACUGGGUGUAAAGGGGGCGCAGACGGCGAUGCAAGCCAGGAGUGAAAGCCCGGGGGCCAACCCCGGGACUGCGCUUGGAACGGCGUGGCUGGAGUGCAGGAGGGGCAGGCGGAAUUCCUGGUGUAGCGGUGAAAUGCGUAGAUAUCAGGAGGAACACCGGUGGCGAAGGCGGCCUGCUGGACUGCAACUGACGUUGAGGCCCGAAAGCGUGGGGAGCAAACAGGAUUAGAUACCCUUGUAGUC
rnacentral:rRNA from 1 species